rnacentral:rRNA from 1 species
CCUAAAUAKCUUGGCGUAWUCAUGGUCAUWGAUGGCGKMGUGYSUAWYAYAUGCAAGUCGAACGAAGGUGUUCUUGUGGUAACAUGAGUGCAUCUUAGUGGCGAAUGGGUGAGUAACGCGUUGGUGACCUGCCCCGAAGAGAGGAAUAACCCCGGGAAACUGGGGCUAAUACCUCAUGUGCUUCAAGAUGUUAGAAGUUCUUGUCGUAAAGGACUGGAAACAGAUCCGCUUCGGGAGGGGCCUGCGUCCCAUCAGCUAGUUGGUAAGGUAAUGGCUUACCAAGGCUACGACGGGUAGGGGACCUGAGAGGGUGGCCCCCCACACUGGCACUGAAACACGGGCCAGACACCUACGGGUGGCAGCAGUAGGGAAUAUUGCACAAUGGGCGAAAGCCUGAUGCAGCAACGCCGCGUGCGCGAUGAAGGCCUUCGGGUCGUAAAGCGCUUUUCUGAGAGACGAGCAAGGACGGUACCUCAGGAAUAAGGAUCGGCUAACUACGUGCCAGCAGCCGCGGUAAAACGUAGGAUCCGAGCGUUAUCCGAAUUUACUGGGCGUAAAGCGCGUGUAGGUGGUUUGGCAGGUUGGAUGUGAAAGCUCCUGGCUUAACUGGGAGAGGCCGUUCAAAACUACCAGACUUGAGGGCGGUAGGGGAAGGUGGAAUUCCCGGUGUAGUGGUGAAAUGCGUAGAUAUCGGGAGGAACACCAGUGGCGAAGCGGCCUUCUGGGCCGUCCCUGACACUGAGACGCGAAAGCUAGGGGAGCAAACGGGAUUAGAUACCCCGGUAGUCCUAGCUGUAAACGAUGCGAACUUGGCGUUGGUGGCAUAAAAACCAUCAGUGCCGAAGCUAACGCGAUAAGUUCGCCGCCUGGGGAUUACGGCCGCAAGGCUAAAACUCAAAARAUUGGCGGGGUCCCGCMMAGCAGCGGAGCGUGUGGUUUAAUUCGAUGCUACMCGAGACCUUACCCAGUUUGACAUAUAGUUGUAGGAUCUGAAGGUGACGACCCUUCGGGGAGCCUAUACAGGUGCUGCAUGCUGUCGUCAGCUCGUGCCGUGAGGKUUCCGUUAGUCGUACGAGCGCAACCCUUGSCGAUGUUMAGUUYCWACGACUKCCGUUAUKCGGAGAGSGGGAWKASGYYAGUYSACAUGUG